rnacentral:rRNA from 1 species
GCCAGAAAGCUAGCUCAAAACAUCUUAGUCAAACUAAAAAUUUAUAUAACUACUUAAACAACUCAAUUCUUCAACUAAAUCAUUCAACCACCCCAGUAUGGGCGACAAAAAAGGAUUCCACCAGAAGCCAUAGAUAAAGUACCGCAAGGGAAAGCUGAAAAAGAAAUGAAAAAAUCCAUCAAAGCACAAAAAAGCAGAGACUACCCCUCGUACCUUUUGCAUCAUGAUUCAGCCAGUAAAAUACAUGCAAAGAGCCCUCUAGUUUGUAACCCCGAAACCCGACGAGCUACUCCGGGACAGCCUAUCCAGGGCCAACCCGUCUCUGUAGCAAAAGAGUGGGAAGAUCCCCGAGUAGAAGCAACACACCUACCGAGCCGGGUUAUAGCUGGUUGCCCAAUAAAUGAAUAAAAGUUCAGCCCCGCACAGCCCAAUUCACAACAGUCAAACGACAAAAGACAAAGAGCUACUAAGCGGGAGUUAAUCAAAGGAGGUACAGCUCCCUUGAUAAAGGAUACAACCUUGACCGAAGAUUAAAGAAUAUAAUUAAACAAGGCCACAAGUCUCAGUGGGCCUAAAAGCAGCCACCUGCCCAGAAAGCGUUAAAGCUCAGACCAAACUAUGCCUAUUAUCCCAUUCAACACUCCAAAAUCUCCUCAAACACUGGGCCCCUCUAUGUCCCCAUAGAAGAGAUUAUGCUGAAACGAGUAACAAGAAGACCAAACUUCUCCCCCGCAUAAGUGUAUGUCGGAUCGGACACACCACCGACAAUUAACGAACCCAAAAACAGAGGGUCCCACACCACAGCCACUCCAGCCAAGAAAAACACGUCCCCCUAAAUCGUUACCCCUACACAGGAAUGCUUGACCAAGGAAAGACUAAAAGAAAAAAAAGGAACUCGGCAAACUUAAACCCCGCCUGUUUACCAAAAACACCGCCUCUUGCAAAACAAAGUAUAAGAGGUCCCACCUGCCCUGUGACCAAAAGUUUAACGGCCGCGGUAUCCUAACCGUGCGAAGGUAGCGCAAUCAAUUGCCUUUUAAAUGAGGGCCUGUAUGAAUGGUAUAACGAGGGUUUAACUGUCUCUUUUUUCCAGUCAGUUAAACUGAUCUGUCCGUGCAGAAGCGGACAUAAUUUUACAAGACGAGAAGACCCUAUGGAGCUUUAGAUACUAACCAACCAUGAAAAGCAACCCAAGAUAAAAAUACCCCACACCCCAUGGACCUGGAAUAAAAAUCUUAGGUUGGGGCGACCACGGGAGAAAAGAAAGCUCCCAAGCAGAUCAGGGCAACCCUGAAACCAAGGACUACAACCCUAAGUCACAAAAACUUUGACUGACACGAUCCGGCUUAACAGCCGAUUAACGAACAAAGUUACCCUAGGGAUAACAGCGCAAUCCCCUCCCAGAGUCCAUAUCGACAAGGGGGUUUACGACCUCGAUGUUGGAUCAGGACAUCCUAAUGGUGCAGCCGCUAUUAAGGGUUCGUUUGUUCAACGAUUAAAGUCCUACGUGAUCUGAGUUCAGACCGGAGUAAUCCAGGUCGGUUUCUAUCUGUAGAACAAUCAUUCCUAGUACGAAAGGACCGGAAUGAAAAGGCCCCUGCCAAAAGCAAGCCUUCCGUCCACCUGCUGAAAACAACUAAAGCAGACAAAGACGAGUCCCCCACAUAGGCCUAAGAAAAGGGCCGCCCAAUAAUCCGC